rnacentral:rRNA from 1 species
UACGUAGGGUGCGAGCGUUAAUCGGAAUUACUGUGCGUAAAGCGUGCGCAGGCGGUUUUGUAAGCCAGAUGUGAAAUCCCCGGGCUUAACCUGGGAAUGGCAUUUGGGACUGCAAGGCUCGAGUGCGGCAGAGGAGACUGGAAUUCCUGGUGUAGCAGUGAAAUGCGUAGAUAUCAGGAGGAACACCGAUGGCGAAGGCAGGUCUCUGGGCUGACACUGACGCUCAUGCACGAAAGCGUGGGGAGCAAACAGG